rnacentral:lncRNA from 1 species
UUCGUUUUCAUUCCUCUUCAAUUUUACAAGUGUUAUUCAUUUCAUCAUCUUCUUCUUUUCCUUUCAAAGGUAUUCAUAAAUCUUAAUAAUACUCUCAAAUGUUCAUUCAAGUUCUAAGUGAUCUCUUCUUCCUGGAAGCCCUUAUAAUCUGUUUAAAUUGAGAAAUUCAAAACUAAGGUUUUGUCCAAAUCUUUGUUUAUAUUUCUAUGCAUAAGCUAAGAUUUUGUUUGAUUAUUUUUUCGUUUACAUGGAAGAAUAAGGAGCGGUAGAAAUGCAACAUAAAUGAUUUUCCAUUGUCAAUUUUUUGUAUAUAUUUUGUGCAUUUUUAUGCCUUCGAUCCAAUACACCUACCCAAUCAACAACGGGGUGGUGAGGUUUGAUUUUGCUGAUUGGAUCAAAUAACAUUUAUCCAAUCUAACUGUGUUUUAAUCGAUUCUAUUAUCCCCACUUAACCCAACCCAGCUAAAAUUUCAAUUAGUUUAAUUUUUAUUUAAAUUAAUCAAAUACGUUGAGCAUGGCAUGAUUAUCGCGGACGUAUUAGCAGGAGGAUUCAAUUUAAGUGCUUAUCAGUGUAAGUUAUGUGUAUCCAAUUGUGUUAAAUAGUUGGACUAAAAAAUUUAUCAUCUAAAAUAUUGUUACUCUACUCUGCAUUAUCUCUUCCCAUGGACCAUACAUGUGAUUCUAGAUUGAAUAAAAACUGAUAACAUGAUUACACCAAUAAAGCGUGAUGAUAUAAUGUUUCCAGUAUAUAUAUAUAUAUAUUACCGUGAAAAUAGUUUUCAAAAAAUUUAAGUUUAUGUGAGUUAGUUUCCUGAAUUUAUUAGAGUAAGGGAAAACCUCAUGACACAGAACGCCUAUAGAUAUAUUUUAUAUUUCUAUUCAUUAACAUGUCUUCGUGUCAAUAAUAAAAUUUGUAUUUACGACCUUGUGGCAUUUUAUGUAAUUAAUCCUUUUUAUUUAAUUUAAUUUUAGCUGAGAAAACCUAUCCUAGUAGAUAGGUGGAGUGAAAAUCAAGGACGAAUGAGAAUCGUAUGUUAGUUCUUUGUCUCCAUCGAAUACAUUUUUCUAGCCUUUAACCUUAUCAAUCCAACUCCUCUUGAGUGUAAUAUAUCCCUAUCAUUCCAUCCAUAGUGGUAGCAAUCAAUCCAUGGUAGAUUUUCAUUUUUAGAAGGGGAAAUCUCCCAAAAUCCUAAUCAAAGUGGCCACAUAUAUAGAUUUAUAAUACGCCCGAAAGAUUAAAAUAAUUAAUGAAAUUAUAUUUGAUGAAAUUGGAAAAGUAGUGUAUAAUUAUUACAUGAUGUGUAUAAAAUAUGAGAAAAUAAUAUAGGUAGUUACUGUAUAAGAGUUAUUUAUACUUUCAAUAUAUAUUAUGUAUAAUUUAUUUGUUAAACUCUUUAAAUAUACACAAGAAAAAUCGCAUCGUAAAUAUAAAUAUAUAUAUGUGGGGGAUCUUUUUCAUUGGAAAAUUGGUGUAGGUUUAACUACAUUUUCUCCUUAUACAUAUAUUGCAUUUUGAAAUUUGUCCCGGCAAUAAUUUAUUUUCAUUAAUCGCUAUCUUUUCAUAUCAUUUUGGUUUUGGUUUUUGACCUAAACAUUAGAUAAAAACACUAAUGUAGAUCACCUCAACAAGAACUUAAAUAAUAAAAAGUUAAGUUUAAAGGGAAUAAAAUCAAAAUUCUCUAUUUAUUAAAAUGAAAACACAUUUUUAAAUACAUAAAUAAAAUCCUUCAUCUUCCUAUAUCACCUUCUUUCUCAUAUACACAAACUCAACAGAAAAGUAAAUAGAGAAACGAAGAAGAUGAUAGAGAUCGUAUGACGAUGAUCGUCACAUGGUACUUGAUGGGGGACAACAAUAGUUUGUGACAAUUAUGGACAGAGGCAACACAAGGGUCACAAGACCUUUUGUUUACAAGGAGGUGGUGAUGAUUCAAACUUUGAUGGUGACAACCAUAAUUGUAGUCCUUGUUGCUACACGAUUGGAGUCCUAUUGUGGUGGUUUUUAUUAUAUAAAGAUUAAAAGUGAAGAGACAAUGUCUAUCGUAAUCACUCAUCCCAUCUCAGGAGAGGAAAGUAAGAGCCCAACAUUCGGUAUAGCGUCUCACCUCAGGGAGAGAAAAAGCACAAUAUUUAUUUUAUCCGCUAUUUCAAUCUUUAAAUGUUUUUAAUAUAACAAUAGAAGAAAAGUCUAGUCAUUGUCAUAAUCAACCAUUCCCAAGUACAAUAUCAUAUCUCAACUUAAAGGGGUGGAAGUUAUGAUCCUAGCAAAUAUUGUCUUUUUAAUCCUUUGAAACUAAUAUAUUUAAAAUAUUUUUUAAAAGUAUAAAAUUAUUAUUACUUAACUAUGAUUUUUUGUUUAUUAUUAGUGUUUACUUAUUUAAUUAUUAAACUAUAAAAUAAAAUAUUUAUAAUAACUAUUAUUUGUUUAAAUAAAAUCAAGAAAAAGUUAAUUAAUUACUAUUCAAAAAAUAUAUAAAGAAAUGGAAAUGGAUUACAUAAUACUUGUAGGUUGCCACGUGCAUCAACAAGAAAGGGUCAUGGUGCGUACGAGUUUAUCACUGACACACAUCAAUGGAACAUAAAGUGGUCUAGUAGCGACAUGACACGCAAUGUACAUGGAAAGAGAUGGGGCACACAUCGAGAACUGGGGCAUGACAUGCAGAUUGAGAUGAUACGACAAACUAGGUUGUCAGGUGAUAAUCAACGGGGUGGACAUGCAUUACAUGAUGACUUGUCCAUAUUAUAGUAAUACGCGAAAGUCAUUGACGCCCGCUUUAGCGGUGCUCUAGCACGAAAUUAUCUAAUUCUUGUUAAGCGACUGGCCAAUGGUAGUCCACAAAGAUCGCAUCUCCAGAUACUACUAGAUAUCAAGAACAAAAAUUACAAAGAAACCAAGAUCGCAAAUCGAAGUACUUUUGGAUCUCGUUAGCAUAAAUUAAAAGACAACCAAGAUCAUAUGUCGGGGUAGGUAUUGUUGAAUCUCGAGAAUAGAAAUUAGAAGACAAUCAAGAUCACAAGACGAGGUAUUGUUGGACCUCAUGACUAUAAGUAAAAAAUAAACCAAGGUCACACAUCAGGG